GACGAACGCUGGCGGCGUGCCUAAUACAUGCAAGUAGAACGCUGAAGGAGGAGCUUGCUUCUCUGGAUGAGUUGCGAACGGGUGAGUAACGCGUAGGUAACCUGCCUGGUAGCGGGGGAUAACUAUUGGAAACGAUAGCUAAUACCGCAUAAGAGUAGAUGUUGCAUGACAUUUGCUUAAAAGGUGCAAUUGCAUCACUACCAGAUGGACCUGCGUUGUAUUAGCUAGUUGGUGGGGUAACGGCUCACCAAGGCGACGAUACAUAGCCGACCUGAGAGGGUGAUCGGCCACACUGGGACUGAGACACGGCCCAGACUCCUACGGGAGGCAGCAGUAGGGAAUCUUCGGCAAUGGACGGAAGUCUGACCGAGCAACGCCGCGUGAGUGAAGAAGGUUUUCGGAUCGUAAAGCUCUGUUGUAAGAGAAGAACGAGUGUGAGAGUGGAAAGUUCACAGC
rnacentral:rRNA from 1 species